UACUUAAAUACAACUUUCUUUAGAUUAGUAUGCAGAAAUCAAAAGGCUUUGAAAGGCACAUUGUUUAAAAUCAUUUGAAGCUUUUACAAAGGUUUGAGAGCUUCAGUGAUUAAUUAGUGCUUAGUUAUGAAUUCAACCAUAUGUUUAGUUAAAUUAAACAAUGAUGUAAUGCUGAAUUAAGGUGUGUGAUUCAAUUACCAUUGUGAAAAUUAGCACUUUUUAUAUUGGGGAUUAAGAACAUUGAUGGUGGCAAUUUUUCUGAAUGGUGAGGUAUUUCGUUUGCUUUCGUUGUCAAAUAGCGUUCUCACAUGGGUGGAGAACAAUACAUAUAUUGUAUAUGGUGGAUCAAUAACAAACACUUUGUUUGGUUCAAAUUUUUGGAUAAUUUGGUAUUAUUCCAGAGAUAAUGCAGACAAGAAACUGUUAACUCUUAUUUAUUAAAUAGAUGUAUCGAAUAUGUUUUGCAUGGCAAAGAUCAUAUCUGUUUGGUUAAUGAUACAACUAUUCCAGCUUUUCUUAAUUGAGUGGAGUGUAUUGCAGGUCAUUAGGCUCCUUUUGCUUCCAAAGUUUUUGAACCUGACCGAAGUCAGUUUGCUGAAUCGCUUUUGCGUGUUAGUGAUUUUUUUUUGGCAGUGAAAUCAUCGCUGCCACCUAACAAAUCUAGCUGCUGUAAUAUCAAUUGUUAUUGUUGGAGGGAGAAUGAAAAACAGAUUCUUUGCAAGCAUCACACAAAGGCCAUCAUUUAUUCUGUAUGAAAACCACAGAUUUGUAGCCAAUGAUCUUUUACCGAUUGUCUAAGAGCUUCCAUAGGACUUGCUCUGUGCUAUUCCUUUGCAGUAACCUCCAUUAGGGAUGAAAAAGCUACAAACGACAUUGUUCACCUUUUUCCAAAAGAAAAUUAAUAUGAAAAUCCAACUGAGGUGUAAAUCCCUGCGUUUACUUAACGUUUAUAAUUCAUCCUUCCCCACCCUGUAUCCCAAAUUACAAUUGAAGACUUCAACGCAUAACCCGUUAUUCUGUAAAGCAUCGCCUCUAAUCAUCAUUCAUUUGAAGGUACACCAUUCUAACACUAUCUUUUAUUUGCUUUGAUAAAAUUAUUUCUCAGCUGUUUAACUUAUAAACAAUGACAAUAUUAUUUGUAUACACGAAAAUUCCUGUGAUGAAUGAGACAAAAAACACGUGUACAAAAUAAUAUUUGUAUUGAUGAUUUAGGGGUUACAAUCUCUUCUACAA